GUCCAGCCGACGAGUCCGAAAUAGGACAAAACGUCCAUCCUGGAU
rnacentral:hammerhead_ribozyme from 1 species